CAGAGCCCUAAUUCCUCAUCAGGGAGCGACUGUGGACAUCUUCAUCUCUCCUCAGAUGGAGACAUCUGGAGUCUCUGAAGGAGUUAUGUACGGUGGCUCAGAGAGCUCAACGCACUGCAAAUGAAGAAGAAGAAGAAGAAAUGUUUCAUUGAUGUAUGGUUUGUUAGGAGGACAUUAUUUGUCUGAGAUACAGUUAUUUGAAAAUCUGGAAUCUGAGGGUGCAAAAAAAUCUAAAUAUUGAGAAAAUCAUCUUUAAAGUUGUUCAAAUGAAGUUCUUAGCAAUGCAUAUUACUAAUCAAAAAUUAAGUUUUGAUAUAUUUAAGGUAGGAUAUCUUCAUGGAACAUGAUCUUUACUUAAUAUCCUAAUGAUUUUUGGCAUAAAAGAAAAAUCAAUAAUUCUGACCCAUGCAAUGCUCUUUUGUCUAUUGCUAAAAAUAUACCCCAGCGACUUAAGACUGCUUUUGUGCUCCAGGGUCAGAUUUGUUUGUGUUAUGAGUAUUUGCUGUGUGUUUUUGUAGCGUGUUCUUAAUUGUGAGUAUUUGCAGCACAUGUGCUCUCAAACAGAUGAAGAUGUUUUCUUAAUUUGCUGGUGCUUUUUCUAUUUGCAUGUGUGUUCUCAAGUUGCAGCUCUCUCGGCUGCCGUAGUUCUGGCUCGUUGCACAUCUGUGGCAGUCACUGGAAAGACGCUUUGACGCGGCGCAGCGUGUCAUGGAUCCGGUGAGCGGCGGGCGUCUGGCUGAAGUUGAUAUGUACGACUGCAGCUCAAGGUCAGGAGGGUAUGAAUAGAGACGCUCCUGAAACGAGUGGAUCUGACUUACCACACGCACAAUGUUCCUGAGAGGAGACAAGAGACAAUACACUCGAAGCUUGAGCCUGGUUUUAGAUUCUAAUAAUGAAAGAACAGCACUUGUACAUUCUGCAGAAAAUAUGUACAGCAACCAGCUGAGUGUCCACCUCCAAAACCUGCCUACAAAAACAGCCCUGCGGCUCCUGGCACAGACCCCAAACAUCUCCAAUCACACACCAUCUGCUCCAAACACACACACACACACACACACACCAGCUGCGUCAUUACCGCCACAUCUGACUGUCCGUGACCUCCAACCUCCGCAGAUGUCUGUCC
ensembl:lncRNA